GACGAACGCUGGCGGCGUGCCUAAUACAUGCAAGUAGAACGCACAGUUUAUACCGUAGCUUGCUACACCAUAGACUGUGAGUUGCGAACGGGUGAGUAACGCGUAGGUAACCUGCCUGGUAGCGGGGGAUAACUAUCGGAAACGAUAGCUAAUACCGCAUAAUAUUAAUUAUUGCAUGAUAAUUAAUUGAAAGGUGCAAUUGCACCACUACCAGAUGGACCUGCGUUGUAUUAGCUAGUAGGUGAGGUAACGGCUCACCUAGGCGACGAUACAUAGCCGACCUGAGAGGGUGAUCGGCCACACUGGGACUGAGACACGGCCCAGACUCCUACGGGAGGCAGCAGUAGGGAAUCUUCGGCAAUGGACGAAAGUCUGACCGAGCAACGCCGCGUGAGUGAAGAAGGUUUUCGGAUCGUAAAGCUCUGUUGUAAGAGAAGAACGGGUGUGAGAGUGGAAAGUUCACACUGUGACGGUAUCUUACCAGAAAGGGACGGCUAACUACGUG
rnacentral:rRNA from 1 species